rnacentral:lncRNA from 1 species
GCAAAUGCUUGUAAAUAAAUCAAACCGACUAUUAUUUUGAAAAAAUGAAAUAGAUGAUUAAAUAAACAAUACUUGAUUCAGACAUAUAUUUUACAUUGCAAAACCACCAUCUCUUCCAUUGUUUCUUCCCUAAAUCAAUCACAUCUAACGUUUGUAGGUAACAUGAAUAUGCAUGAAAAAACAAGGUGAUUUUAUAAAUUUAUGAGUUACUCAUGGGUUGUCCUCUUAAUUUGUCAUGAGACUACUCCACCAGAAAUUGAGCUUAGAAAUCACCACAAUGAUUGUCCUCAAUGAGUUUGCCAUCUUCCUUCACAAUGAUUGUGUGGAGCCUUCGAGAAUGAACACGAGCAUUGAUAAAAGGUAACAUUUAUAGCACGAUCACACUCUAACCUUGGGGCACAACUUCGCUUUCUUUCCAUGCCAGCUCCCUUCGGUAUUUCCCUCUUUUCUCUCAGCUCCGACACCUCCAUCCGUCCUUCCUAAUCCUCUAUUCUUUGUCCUUCCCUCAUUGCAUGUCCACCACUCCCACAGCUCCGCUACCGCACUCAGUUCCCCAACUGGCUGAAAAAUAUGGUGGAUUGACAUAAAAAACUGGUUGCCACGGGCUUCUGAAAUAUUUUGCUGAAGUUAUAUAAAGAAAAUGCAUGCUAAAUUUCACAGCUAGGAUAAUAUAACAUGGUCACAAUUGCAUAAUAAUUGAAGUCCACUUCACUUGUAAUAUAAACUGAUAACAAAAUGGCAAACUAACAAUGAAUAUAUAUAAAGUGAUGAUCCAACUCAAAAUCUAUUACAAACUAUUGAGAUCUACUUGAUGCGCUUAAGAAAUUCUCGCACAAUAUUAUGAAAGUUGUCUUUAGCUUCAUUUGCAUGAUGUUUGAGAAAGUAUAAUAAAAAGUUGCUUCCUCAACUCAUACCCAUCAUGCAAAAGUAUAUGUUUCACGUGGAAGGUCUAAGCACAUGUGUAACGGAAAAUACUCGCUGUGCAAACCGGCUUUGCCAAGUCUUUACCAUUCGACAAGAGCAUAAAAUGGAAAAAAUAUUAUUAUAUUAAAUAUGAUGAUAAGAAAAAUAAAUGGUUGUAUUAUGAAUUAAUUACCCGCCUACGCUCAUUGGAAUACCAUUAGGAAAUAAACGUUGCCAUUUUGAUAUAUCAGAAUGCUAUCCUGAUAGCUUUAUUUUGAGUGCUUCUUUGAAUUCUCUCACAAAACCUUUUGAUUUCACUAAGUGCCUCGGAUUUUCCAUCUCCAACGGUUGUGUUGUAUGAAUAGGGUCCAAAAUAGAUAAUCGAUGUGCCUUUGUGGAUAACGUACAAGAUAUAUCGAUCGAUGAAUUCACAUGGAAGAUAAAUCUACAAGUGGUAGCUAUUAGAAACAACAAUAAACAAUGACAAACAAUGGACAAAAGACCUUACUUACCAUGUUGCAUGAUGAGAUGUUACUGUCUAUCCCAGGCAGCUAUCAAGCAAAGUUGUCAUUCCAACCCAAUAGAAAAACUCCACUCCACCCCAUGACGCACCCUUCACUUUUCCUAUUGGACUCUCUCCUUCACUCUCGAUUUCCCGCUAUAAGACCCCACCUCGUCAUGCGCUGCAACAGAGACAAUUGUUUUUUCAUAUUUACAAUAUAAUAGAGUGAAACUAUAUACCAUAUUUUAUUUUUCCUGGGAGCAUAAUGGACUAACUUGUCAAUGUAACCUCGGUUGUAUACUACAUCUACAUCCCUGUCGAUGAACAUGUGCACUAUUGAACUACCUAUGCAUCUACAUCUCUAUGAAGAUACAUAUAUAACUGCAUCUUGGAUGAACACUAUUGUCAGUUUACUCGCAUGAGCCAUUCAAGGAAAGUAGUCUCUCUGUUCUAGUGUACCUAGAUGUACGAUGAAACAAACUUGUGAACCAAAGCAAUUUGAGUUGACGGAUGGACAGAGGAAGCGGGGCAAAGAUGAUUUAUUUAUGGGCGAUGGUGAAUUGCUACAAAUACGUAUACUCCAUCACUCCUACCUUCCAUGCAUGUCAGCAUCCGGUGCUACCGCUUGAUUCCCUGAAGAUUCCCUAACAAAUCAUUUCAUAUAAACUACUGUACCUAGCAAUGUAAAAAUACAAAAAUGAUAGAAUCACUAACCUAUAUAGAAAAAAUGGCACACUUCCGACCGUCCUACUGUUUUGGCUUCAAUUUGCCUCACCUUGCAUGUCACUGCAUCCUUAGGAAAAACAAACACAUUGAUAAUUAUAAUUAAGAACUUCACCUACAACAAAACAGAACCGGGAGAAACUCAUCGCUGUCAUUGUCUUCCAAGGCCCUCAUUGUCCUCUGGUAAUAUAGUUUGAGAGAAGUCCAUAUUACCCUCUCAAACUUGUCUUAGGCUUCACUUUACAAACCUCAACAUUGUGUUCAUUCAAGUUUCAUCCUUCAACUUCAUAAACCAUUCAUAAUUAUAUGGGGUCUGCUUCAGUAUAGCCACCUUAAGCGGGUCAAUGGUGGAGAUGAAAACUUACCCCUAAGGCACAUAGGACAUGACGGUCAAGUUAAGUACUAACCGCUUUAUUAAUCGGUGUAUGUAUGGCUCACAUCGACAUUGUUUUUUAACUUAAACAUAACAUAGACUUAGGUACUUAUUGUCGAAAACCCCAAUUUAUGACCUGUAGGAAUUUAGUAUUACAUAUGAAUUUAGUACUCCCACUGUUCCACUUUAUAAUGCGCCUUUGUGUGUAGCGUUUAUACCAAUGCCUGAGCUGACAUUCUCAUUUGGACAAGAAUUGCCCUCCAGCUGCUCGCUCUGUCACAGCACGUGGGUGUCUGCUGCUGCGUCCCUGUGAACAGUCCAGGGCUACUUUAGUCCAAAGCAGCUUAUGCGCACUACAUUUCGGAAUCUAGGCAAAAAACUAUGUGCAUUAGAAUAUGGAAUGAAGGGAGUAUUACCAUGUAGUAGUUCGGCAAGAAAAUUUGCAGGAAUCAGUUUAGGCAGAAGAAUUGCUAGUUUCUAUUAAUUCAAUCCUCAAGGACAUUUACAAACCAAAGUGAUUUCGUUAAAGCUUUUCUUACAUGACAUCCUUAGGCAUGUAUGUGUUGGGGAACGUUGCAGAAAAUUAAAAUUUUUCCUACGGUUUCACCAAGAUCCAUCUAUGAGUUCAUCUAAGCAACGAGUCAAGGGAGAGAGUUUGCAUCUACAUACCACUUGUAGAUCGC